rnacentral:rRNA from 1 species
AAAUUGAAGAGUUUGAUCAUGGCUCAGAUUGAACGCUGGCGGCAGGCCUAACACAUGCAAGUCGAACGGUAACAGGAAUCAGCUUGCUGAUUUGCUGACGAGUGGCGGACGGGUGAGUAAUAUCUGGGAAACUGCCUGAUGGAGGGGGAUAACUACUGGAAACGGUAGCUAAUACCGCAU